rnacentral:rRNA from 1 species
CUGGCUCAGGAUGAACGCUAGCUACAGGCUUAACACAUGCAAGUCGAGGGGCAGCAUAUCGAAAGCUUGCUUUGAUGAUGGCGACCGGCGCACGGGUGAGUAACGCGUAUCCAACCUUCCCUAUACUAGAGGAUAGCCCGGCGAAAGUCGGAUUAAUACUCUAUGUUCUUCGUAGAAGACAUCUGAAAUGAAGCAAAGGUUUACCGGUAUAGGAUGGGGGAUGCGUCUGAUUAGGUUGUUGGCGGGGUAACGGCCCACCAAGCCCACGAUCAGUAGGGGUUCUGAGAGGAAGGUCCCCCACAUUGGAACUGAGACACGGUCCAAACCCCUACGGGAGGCAGCAGUGAGGAAUAUUGGUCAAUGGACGAGAGUCUGAACCAGCCAAGUAGCGUGCCAGGAUGACGGCCCUAUGGGUUGUAAACUGCUUUUAUACAGGGAUAAAGUGCACUACGUGUAGUGUUUUGUAGGUACUGUAUGAAUAAGGACCGGCUAAUUCCGUGCCAGCAGCGGC